CUAAUUAAGGCACAAACCCGGUAGGAAUUCUGAGCGUCACAUCCUGUUCUAUUUUUCACCACUCGGUACCCCAGAGCACGUAGGCCUCAAGGCGUGAUUGGAAGCGUCUGCCUUCCAAGGAGUGACCAUAAAGAGGCAUUUUCUGAAUCUAUUCUUAGCGCUCUUAUCUCCUCAGAUGUCGGAGCCAGACCAAGCAGGGCAUGGAAAUCAGAGUAGACACUGAAGAGAAGAAACCAAGGGGCCUGAAAUCCCAAGUGACUGAGCUGCUAUUUCGAAGGAUCUUUCUUUUCUGCCCUUUCUCAGUUGAUUACUUGGUAUCCAUCGGCAUCGGCAUGCAACUGGAGACCUCAUGCAGAGAUGUUUUCAUUUCAACGGACUGAGCUUGCAGGCUAAGGUUUGUGGGCUUACAGGAUGUUUAAAGGCUCCCUUUCAACAUCACUGAUAAGAGAUCAUCAUUUCUGAAGUAGUUCCAUGCUGUACUGGUGUCUCUUUGGAGAUCCACCUUUGCAACAGCAGAAUGGCACAAAAUGAGCCGUGCCACGGAAAGAACCAGCAAUUUUUCUGCACUCUACAGUGUAACCAAGAAUGUGGGAAAUAAAGUGCUGAUAUAUUGACUCAUUUAAAUUUCACCACAAUUCUCCGGCCAUGACAGAGACCCUCAACUGUGACCAGCCAAGUCACCAACUUUCUAAAUAAGCCUGGAACUGAACAUUCACUGGGUGGCCUAGGAUGUAAGCAAAUGAAGUACAUUGGCCAUCUGCAA